ACGAAGAUUUUUGGAUUCUUAGGAUUAGGUUCGAUUCCUAUAAUUCUAG
rnacentral:tRNA from 1 species